UCUUUGGCUACCCCAAAAUUCUUCUCCUUAUCUUAUCUUCUUGGCUGUACCAGAAAGACCAGCCCUCUUUCUCUACUCCUUUUUCUUUGUUCUUGUUUUUCUUCUCUCUUUGUUCUCACAUGGCAGCCCUCCCUCUCUCACCAAAGCAAUAUAUCCCUCUCUAAAGAAAAAAUUAAAAGGUUAACACUAAAAUUUCAGCUUCAAAGUUUGUGGGUGUUACCAGUUCCCCAGGUCUAAGCUCUUUCGACUAUAGGCUCACGGUUCCUCUGCUUUCAGUUAACAGGUUUUAUUUUGGAGCAGAGGAAGCCUUAGUCGAGUUUGGAAGGAUCUGGUUUUAGUUUUAUAUGUAUAGAUCCUAAAUUAGCAAUUUGAUAUUUAGAUUUGUAUUAUGGUGCAUUUUAGGAUAUAAUGGAAGUGUGUACCUUAAAAUAUUAAGAGAUGUAUUAUGUGAAACUUAGAAUUUGAAUAAUCGGUGGAUUGUGUUAUCCUUUAAGGUACAAUGUAAAUGCUCUGAAUAUCAAGAGGAAAGCUAUAUCAUUUAAGUAAAGAAACAAGAAUGAAAAG